UACGAGAGGUGCAAGCGUUAUUCGGAAUUAUUGGGCGUAAAGGGUGCGUAUGCGGGAUGACAAGUCUGUUGUUAAAUAUCCUGGCUCAACCAGGAAAGUGCAAUGGAAACUGUUAUUCUAGAGGGUGAGAGAGAGAAGUGGAAUUCCAGGAGUUAGCGGUCAAAUGCGUAGAUCUCUGGAGGAACACCGAUGGCGAAGGCAGCUUCUUGGCUCAUUUCUGACGCUGAGGCACGAAAGCGUGGGGAGCAAACAGG
rnacentral:rRNA from 1 species